AGCUUUGGGCAGUGGCAAUAUUGUAGCUUAUGAGGUUAAUCUGUGGCACAAUUAUUGCUUAUUCAAAACUUUCCCCAAUACUCAGCCUUGAUGACUUGAAAUAUCAUCAGCUAUGGUGAUUUUUGAUUUGGUCUCUAUGGAGG